GAUGAACGUUGGCGGCGUGCCUAAUACAUGCAAGUCGAACGAAGACUGUAGUAAUACUGUCUUAGUGGCGAACGGGUGAGUAACGCGUGGGUGACCUGCCCCGAAGUGUGGGAUAACAGUCCGAAAGGAUUGCUAAUACUGCAUAAUAUCCAAGAGAUUAGAUGCUUUUGGAUUAAAGGAGUAAUUCGCUUCGGGAGGGGCCCGCGUCCCAUCAGCUAGUUGGUAAGGUAAUGGCUUACCAAGGCGAUGACGGGUAGGGGACCUGAGAGGGUGGCCCCCCACAAUGGAACUGAAACACGGUCCAUACACCUACGGGUGGCAGCAGUAGGGAAUAUUAGUAAUGGGCGAAAGCCUGAACUAGCAACGCCGCGUGUGCGAAGAAGGCCUUCGGGUCGUAAAGCACUUUUUGAGAGGAUGAGGAAGGACGGUACUCUCAGAAUAAGUUCGGCUAACUACGUG
rnacentral:rRNA from 1 species